GGGGAGCUGGUGUAGCAGGGAGCACGGCCGGUCUCCAAAACCGGACGGAUGAGGUUCGAGUCCUCGGUUCCUCGC
rnacentral:tRNA from 1 species